rnacentral:rRNA from 1 species
AACGAACGCUGGCGGCAUGCCUAACACAUGCAAGUCGAACGAAGCCUUCGGGCUUAGUGGCGCACGGGUGCGUAACGCGUGGGAAUCUGCCCUUCGGUACGGAAUAACUCAGGGAAACUUGUGCUAAUACCGUAUGAAGUCUUCGGACCAAAGAUUUAUCGCCGAGGGAUGAGCCCGCGUAGGAUUAGGUAGUUGGUGGGGUAAAGGCCUACCAAGCCGACGAUCCUUAGCUG